rnacentral:rRNA from 1 species
UACGUAGGGUGCGAGCGUUGUCCGGAAUUAUUGGGCGUAAAGGGCUCGUAGGCGGUUUGUCGCGUCUGCUGUGAAAACCUAGGGCUUAACCCUGGGCCUGCAGUGGGUACGGGCAGACUAGAGUGCGGUAGGGGAGACUGGAAUUCCUGGUGUAGCGGUGAAAUGCGCAGAUAUCUGGAGGAACACCGGUGGCGAAGGCGGCUACCUGGCCCAACAUUGACACUGAGACCCGAAAGCGUGGGAUCAAACAGG